AAGAUUUCUGGGCCGCACGCGCGCUACACUGACGGAGCCAGCGAGUACUCCCUUGGCCGGAAGGCCUGGGUAAUCUUGUUAAACUCCGUCGUGCUGGGGAUAGAGCAUUGCAAUUAUUGCUCUUCAACGAGGAAUCCCUAGUAAGCGCAAGUCAUCAGCUUGCGUUGAUUACGUCCCUGCCCUUUGUACACACCGCCCGUCGCUACUACCGAUUGAAUGGCUCAGUGAGGCGUCCGGACUGGCCCAGAGAGGUGGGCAACUACCACUCAGGGCCGGAAAGCUCUCCAAACUCGGUCAUUUAGAGGAAGUAAAAGUCGUAACAAGGUCUCCGUUGGUGAACCAGCGGAGGGAUCAUUACCGAGUUUACAACUCCCAAACCCAAUGUGAACGUUACCAAACUGUUGCCUCGGCGGGAUCUCUGCCCCGGGUGCGUCGCAGCCCCGGACCAAGGCGCCCGCCGGAGGACCAACCAAAACUCUUUUUGUAUACCCCCUCGCGGGUUUUUUUAUAAUCUGAGCCUUCUCGGCGCCUCUCGUAGGCGUUUCGAAAAUGAAUCAAAACUUUCAACAACGGAUCUCUUGGUUCUGGCAUCCAUGAAGAACGCAGCGAAAUGCGAUAAGUAAUGUGAAUUGCAGAAUUCAGUGAAUCAUCGAAUCUUUGAACGCACAUUGCGCCCGCCAGUAUUCUGGCGGGCAUGCCUGUCCGAACGUCAUUUCAACCCUCGAACCCUCCGGGGGGUCGGCGUUGGGGAUCGGCCCUCCCUUA
rnacentral:rRNA from 1 species